AACGAACGCUGGCGGCAUGCCUAACACAUGCAAGUCGAACGAUGCCUUCGGGCAUAGUGGCGCACGGGUGCGUAACGCGUGGGAAUCUGCCCCUGGGUUCGGAAUAACAGCGAGAAAUUGCUGCUAAUACCGGAUGAUGACGAAAGUCCAAAGAUUUAUCGCCCAGGGAUGAGCCCGCGUAGGAUUAGCUAGUUGGUGAGGUAAGAGCUCACCAAGGCGACGAUCCUUAGCUGGUCUGAGAGGAUGAUCAGCCACACUGGGACUGAGACACGGCCCAGACUCCUACGGGAGGCAGCAGUGGGGAAUAUUGGACAAUGGGCGAAAGCCUGAUCCAGCAAUGCCGCGUGAGUGAUGAAGGCCUUAGGGUUGUAAAGCUCUUUUACCCGGGAUGAUAAUGACAGUACCGGGAGAAUAAGCUCCCGCUAACUCCGU
rnacentral:rRNA from 1 species